rnacentral:lncRNA from 1 species
CAUUCCGCUCUCAAACUAGAUGACUUCACUACGGAGGAAUUUCUUCUGGAGCUAAAGGAGUCGAGUAUUCAUAUUACGGAGGAAGAGGCACACAAAUUCAGAGACCAUGAAGUUGACGGUGAAACUUUGGAGUGUGGCCUGACCGACACAAUGGUGUCUUCCCUCUUUGGCUCGUUUAAAAAGCAAGCUCAAUUUCUUGAGAUUAUUCGAGAAAACAAAAUGAUCACCCCUAACUCCUGUGCCAGAGUACGACCCACCCACUGGUCCUGCAGAAAGCUAUGCAUUGAAGUAGACAGGAUGCGUCCAACAGAUGUCAAUUUGUGUCAACUUUGGCGACAGAAUGUCACCAAAAUUGUUCCUAAAGUGAUCGAGUUGGUCCAAGGAAAAACUCCACCGGCCAAAGUACAUUCUGCUGCCAGGGAGGAAAUUCUCAUGGAGGAAAUACAAGAUGUCUACUUCAGAGCAGCACUCAUUCUGCUACCCUACCUCUUCAAAGAAAAAAUUGAACGAGUCAUUAUACUAUGCCAGUCUGGUGCCUUCAGUUCAACCCCCUACCCAACUGUACAGCUGACUGACUGGAAGACUGUCUUCACAAGGAGGAUCCCCGGGCCUGUCAUGGUGGAUGGAACAGAUCUGUGCCAGGGAUCAGGAGUUGAAGGAAUGAUUGCAGUCUUUUGUGCGUACUAUGUUUUUAAUUUGGAAUACCUCCUUACCUGAAGAACACACUGACGUUUCUUCAGCACUUGGUACUGAACAUUUCUGAGGUGGGUGAGAAGGCCCUUCUCAUCACUGUGACUCGGAUGAGUGCUGACACUACUUUCGUCACUCCCAUCUGACCUGCAAAGAUGCAUUGCAUCUGUAUGUGGAAUUGACUACACCAUCUCACCGCCCACAAUAUGCAGCGUGUGUCAGGAGUAGUCAUUGGCUGUCAAAUAUGCCUGCAAAGAUGUGUUUAUAGGCAACUUUAUUUAUACCGCGCAUUCAUACACAAGGCAACUCAAUGCGUGUUUUAUAGUUGACUAUUUGCAUGCUGAAAUGAUUCCUCUGUUUUUCUUGAUCAAAUUUGUUUUCAACGUUGAUCCGCAAUGGCUAUUGUGUGGCAAACUGCUUGUUCCAAAGUCUUAUGACACACACCUACAUGCCUAUGCAUUUCAACAGGACUCAGAUUGGACUGUAAUACAGCCAGGACACAUAAUGGACUUUCAGCCUCUUGACAUUAAUAAUAUUAAUGCCGUUUUGUACAUAACAUUAAGAAAUGUUUAAUUACUGUUCAAGUAUGACUUUAACGUAGGAACACAAGGUUAUCAUUAAGUGCGUAUGAUGGAAUAUGUC